AUCUUCUUCUUUUUCUUCUUCUUCAUAAACAUAACCCAACCUUCCCCGAACCAUAUUGUCCUGCGCAUCUCUUGAACAGAAAUCGAUUCAUAUGGUAUGCUCUUGAACGGCAGCAAUGCAAGAGAGACCUAGAAGCCACCAGAGAUGGCGUCAAGUAAUCUUCAGCCGCUUGUCCUCUCUUGUCACCAUGUUUCUAGAUCGUUACUCUUCUCCUCGCGAUAUGAAGGUGGGUUAACGGUUGGUGUCAGAUUUGAAGGAAAAAUGGGUCUGUAGCUAGUGUUGGUGUGAGUUGGGAAAUGAUUUCCUCCUUUGCAAACGGUGGCUUAAUCUCUAACUCUAAGGCUACCUUGUGCGGUCCUUGAAGGUGUUAAAUUGGCCAUUUUAUUAAGUCUGGUUGCUUAUUGCGAGAUUCUCAUGUCUGACUUAUGUGGAUUUGAUUAAUGGUUGUAUUGUUACGCCUUAUAAUUCUUGCAUUUGGUUAAAAC
rnacentral:misc_RNA from 1 species